rnacentral:lncRNA from 1 species
AGCAUUACCCUCUGCAUUGCUAGGGCUGAAGGUCAUGGCUAAUUGGCAUGGCUGCUCAAAUCAUCUCUGGGAAUUGCCUCAUGGAAAUCUUGCAAAGUGGAGGACCCAGUGGGAGAACAGCAGGAUUCUGAUAAUGGGCUGAAGAUAAUUUCACUGGCUCACCAUGGGCCUUGUUUGCUGGUGAUAAAAUAAAGGAUAGGAGCUCAGCAACCAAAUUGGCUCCAGAGUUGAUGUGUGGCCGAACGGCCUUGAUGAGGAAGCUGGG